rnacentral:rRNA from 1 species
CCUGAAACCGUUGGUCUACAAACAGUCAAAGCAGCUUUAGGGCUGCGAUGGCGUGCCUUUUGAAGAAUGAGCCAGCGAGUUACGGUGUGUGGCAAGGUUAACCCGAUGAGGGGAAGCCGGAGCGAAAGCGAGUCUGAAUAGGGCGUUCAGUCGCAUGCCGUAGACCCGAAGCCGAGUGAGCUAUCCAUGGGCAGUGUGAAGCGGAGGUAAGACUCUGUGGAGGCGCGAACCGACUUCAGUUGAAAAUGGAGCGGAUGACCUGUGGAUAGGGGUGAAAGGCCAAUCAAACUCGGUGAUAGCUGGUUCCCCGCGAAAUGCAUUUAGGUGCAGCGUCGUGCGUUCAACGAUGGGGGUAGAGCACUGAAUGGGCUAGGGGUCCUACAAGACUACCGACCCCAAUCAAACUCCGAAUACCAUCGUUCCAGAGCACGGCAGUGAGACCUCGGGGGAUGAGCUUCGAGGUCGAGAGGGAAACAGCCCAGACCGCCAGCUAAGGUCCCAAAAUCUGAACUAAGUGGUAAACGAUGUGAGAUUGCGAAAACAGCCAGGAGGUUGGCUUGGAAGCAGCCAUCCUUUAAAGAGUGCGUAACAGCUCACUGGUCGAGUGAUCUUGCGCGGACAAUGUAACGGGGCUCAAGUUCAGUACCGAAGCUGCGGAUGCGACUCUUUGAGUCGCGUGGUAGCGGAGCGUCGAGCGCGCAGCGAAGCGGCGGGAUAACCCAGCCGAGGAGUGCGUUCGAGCGAGAAUGUUGGCAUGAGUAGCGAAAGAGGGGUGAGAACCCCCUCCGCCGUAUGUCCAAGGGUUCCUGGGCGAGGCCAAUCCUCCCAGGGUGAGUCGGGAGCUAAGGCGAGGCCGAGAGGCGUAGUCGAUGCACAACUGGUUGAUAUUCCAGUACCACCAUGUUCGCGACCGUUCCAAUACUUUGUUGCUAAGGGGCUGUGUUGACUUCGGUUAACACGAACCGACCCACAUUGUUGCGGAAAGCUAUAGGGGGACGCAGGAAGGUAGAUGAACCCGGUGAAUGGUAGAACCGGGGUAAGCGUGUAGGAGGAGGACCAGGCAAAUCCGGGCCUCAUAUACUCUGAGACGUGAUACCGAGCCGCUUCAGGCGAAGUCAUUAAUCCUAUGCUGCCUAGAAAAGCCCAGUAGCGAGUUGACAUGGUGCCCGUACCCCAAACCAACACAGGUGGACAGGUAGAGCAUACCAAGGCGAGUGGGAUAACUAUGGUUAAGGAACUCGGCAAAUUUCCUCCGUAACUUCGGGAUAAGGAGGACCCCAGUAGCGUGACGAGACUUGCUCUCCGAGCGUGAAGGGGUGGCACAAAAUUGAGGGAAGCGACUGUUUACCAAAAACACAGCAGCGUGCUAAGCCGUAAGGCGCUGUAUACGCUGUGGCUCCUGCCCGGUGCUGGAAGGUUACGGGGAUGGGUUAGUCCUUUGGGACGAAGCUCUGAACCUAAGCCCCAGUAAACGGCGGCCGUAACUAUAACGGUCCUAAGGUAGCGAAAUUCCUUGUCGGGUAAGUUCCGACCUGCU